ensembl:lncRNA
UAGAUAUCGUUAGUUUAGCUUCUCAUUAUAUAUUAUGUUGAUUUUGUUUUCCUGUUUUUUUCCUCUAGAGAAAAUUUGGAAUUCAUUAAUAUAAAAAGAAAUAGGAAGUGUGGUUCAACACUUGGACCAUAAAGAAGGCUGAGCACCAAAGAAUUGAUACUUUUGAACUGUGAGGCUGGAGAAGACUCUAGAGAGUCCGUUGGACAACAAGGAGAUUAAACCAGUCAAUCCUAAAGGAAAUUAAUCCUGAAUAUUCACUGGAGGGCUGAAGCUCCAACACUUUGGCCACCUGAUGUGAAGAGCUGACUCAUUGGAAAAUGUCCUGACACUGGGAAAGAUUGAGGUAAAGAGGUGAAGGGGACAACAGAGGAUGAGAUGUUUUGGAUG